rnacentral:rRNA from 1 species
GAUGAACGCUGGCGGCGUGCUUAACACAUGCAAGUCGAACGGGAUCCAUCAGGCUUUGCUUGGUGGUGAGAGUGGCGAACGGGUGAGUAAUGCGUGACCGACCUGCCCCAUACACCGGAAUAGCUCCUGGAAACGGGGGGUAAUGCCGGAUGCUCCGACUCCUCGCAUGGGGUGUCGGGGAAGAUUUCAUCGGUAUGGGAUGGGGUCGCGUACUAUCAGGUAGUCGGCGGGGUAACGGCCCACCGAGCCUACGACGGGUAGCCGGCCUGAGAGGGCGACCGGCCACAUUGGGACUGAGAUACGGCCCAGACUCCUACGGGAGGCAGCAGUGGGGAAUAUUGCACAAUGGACGCAAGCCUGAUGCAGCGACGCCGCGUGCGGGAUGACGGCCUUCGGGUUGUAAACCGCUUUUGAUCGGGAGCAAGCCUUCGGGUGAGUGUACCUUUCGAAUAAGCACCGGUUAACUACGUGCCAGCCGCCGCAGUAA